GAUGAACGCUGGCGGCGUGCCUAAUACAUGCAAGUCGAGCGAACGGACGAGAAGCUUGCUUCUCUGAUGUUAGCGGCGGACGGGUGAGUAACACGUGGAUAACCUACCUCUAAGACUGGGAUAACUUCGGGAAACCGGCGCUAAUACCGGAUGAUAUUUUGAACCGCAUGGUUCAAAAGUGAAAGACGGUCUUGCUGUCACUUAUAGAUGGAUCCGCGCUGCAUUAGCUAGUUGGUAAGGUAACGGCUUACCAAGGCAACGAUGCAUAGCCGACCUGAGAGGGUGAUCGGCCACACUGGAACUGAGACACGGUCCAGACUCCUACGGGAGGCAGCAGUAGGGAAUCUUCCGCAAUGGGCGAAAGCCUGACGGAGCAACGCCGCGUGAGUGAUGAAGGUCUUCGGAUCGUAAAACUCUGUUAUUAGGGAAGAACAUAUGUGUAAGUAACUGUGCACAUCUUGACGGUACCUAAUCAGAAAGCCCCGGCUAACUACGUG
rnacentral:rRNA from 1 species